rnacentral:lncRNA from 1 species
CCCGUGUGCCCCCCCCACCAGACCAGUUCCCAUAGGACUACUGUAGCAUAGCUAUAUGUUGUCCAUGCAGCUAACCUGUUCUCAGUUAAUCAGGAGCAAAUCUAAUAUCGUCCCUGUUAGAAAAGGAAGGUUGUCCAGCCCUCCCUGUAUGGAGUCUGUUCUGAUGAGGAAGGUUGUCCAGCCCUCCCUGUAUGGAGUCUGUUCUGAUGAGGAAGGUUGUCCAGUCCUCCCUGUAUGAAGUCUGUUCUGAUGAGGAAGGUUGUCCAGUCCUCCCUGUAUGAAGUCUGUUCUGAUGAGGAAGAUUGUCCAGUCCUCCCUGUAUGAAGUCUGUUCUGAUGAGGAAGGUUGUCCAGUCCUCCCUGUAUGGAGUCUGUUCUGAUGAGGAAGGUUGUGCAGUCCUCCCUGUAUGGAGUCUGUUCUGAUGAGGAAGGUUGUGCAGUCCUCCCAGUAUGAAGUCUGUUCUGAUGAGGAAGGUUGUGCAGUCCUCCCUGUAUGAAGUCUGUUCUGAUGAGGAAGGUUGUCCAGUCCUC